rnacentral:rRNA from 1 species
CCUACGGGUGGCAGCAGUGAGGAAUAUUGGUCAAUGGACGAGAGUCUGAACCAGCCAAGUAGCGUGAAGGAUGAAUGCUCUAUGGAUCGUAAACCUCUUUUAUAAAGGAAUAAAAUGUUGCACGUGUGGGGUUUUGUAUGUACCAUAUGAAUAAGGAUCGGCUAACUCCGUGCCAGCAGCCGCGGUAAUACGGAGGAUCCGAGCGUUAUCCGGAUUUAUUGGGUUUAAAGGGGGCGUAGGUGGAUUGUUAAGUCAGUUGUGAAAGUUUGCGGCUCAACCGUAGAAUUGCAGUUGAAACUGGCAGUCUUGAGUACAGUAGAGGUGGGCGGAAUUCGUGGUGUAGCGGUGAAAUGCUUAGAUAUCACGAAGAACUCCGAUUGCGAAGGCAGCUCACUGGACCGCAACUGACACUGAGGCUCGAAAGUGUGGGUAUCAAACAGGAUUAGAUACCCGGGUAGUC